rnacentral:rRNA from 1 species
UAGCCGGCCUGAGAGGGUGACCGGCCACACUGGGACUGAGACACGGCCCAGACUCCUACGGGAGGCAGCAGUGGGGAAUAUUGCACAAUGGACGAAAGUCUGAUGCAGCAACGCCGCGUGAGGGACGAAGGCCUUCGGGUUGUAAACCUCUUUUAGCAGGGAAGAAGCGAAAGUGACGGUACCUGCAGAAAAAGCACCGGCUAACUACGUGCCAGCAGCCGCGGUAAUACGUAGGGUGCAAGCGUUGUCCGGAAUUAUUGGGCGUAAAGAGCUCGUAGGCGGUUUGUCGCGUCUGCUGUGAAAUUUCGAGGCUCAACCUCGAACUUGCAGUGGGUACGGGCAGGCUAGAGUGCAGUAGGGGAGACUGGAAUUCCU